rnacentral:rRNA from 1 species
CUUGGUGGCCAUAGCGGGGGAUAAAACGCUCCAUUCCAUCCCGAACUGGACAGCGAAAGCCCCCAGCGGCGAUGAUACUUCGUCUUAAGGCGCGGGAAAGUAGCACGCUGCCAAGC